UACAGAGGUCCCAAGCGUUGUUCGGAAUCACUGGGCGUAAAGGGUGCGUAGGCGGGUCUUUAAGUCAGGGGUGAAAUCCUGGAGCUCAACUCCAGAACUGCCUUUGAUACUGAGGAUCUUGAGUACGGGAGAGGUGAGUGGAACUGCGAGUGUAGAGGUGAAAUUCGUAGAUAUUCGCAAGAACACCAGUCGCGAAGGCGGCUCACUGGCCCGUAACUGACGCUGAGGCACGAAAGCGUGGGGAGCAAACAGG
rnacentral:rRNA from 1 species